CAUUAAUCUCAGCUUCAGAACAGUUUCACAUUUUACAUCUUCACCUGAACAGAAAUUCAUGAUGACCAAGAAAUUACUUGUCCUGUUGAUGUGCCUGACUGGACUAUGUUCCACCAUUUCUGUGACUAAAGAACAUGAUAUAAAGAAGCGGUCUUCGAGUAAUGAGGUUAACAUGGGUUUUGGAGGAUUCUACCCACAGUACCCCCAAUUCUAUCCCCAGCCUCCCCAGGUUGACCUGAUGGCCCUGCUGCCCUUACUGAUGGCAAGACAAAAUGCUGUUGCUGCACCGGUUCCUGUCCUACCUGCCUUUCCAGCAAUACCUCCCCUACCUGCCAUACCACCUCUAC